CUGGUUCUACUUAGUUGAGAGUUGCCAUGUUGUUGCGUUUUAGGGGUGUGCUACACCAUCAAAAUAAAAUAAUUUAAUUGAUUACAGGGUAAUGAGCGUGAAUUUGUGAAAAUUAUUGAGUGUUAUACGAGUUUGUUGAUAUCCUGAAUCAGUAGUGUCAAUUUUAAGUCCCCGGAAAGUGAGAAUUUAACACACGUGGAGUGGAAAACAGUAAUAAAGGUGAAUGAUCCAAAUACCUACAUGUGGGCCUGAAAACAGUAGUUCUGCGUGUUAAUAACUAUGAGUGAUUUAUUGUUAGUUAUUAUUUUAACCUAGAUUUGGUUUAAUUUAUCAAUGUGCUAUGCGUGCACAUUUGUUAUUGUUUUGCUCAGUAGUGCUUCCGAGUUUUUUCUUGUGUACAGUGAAGUGCUGUGACUGUCUUGUCGUCAAUCGAGAACGAUCAGUCCAUUCCUUGCGACAAGGGGAGUGAACUUUGAUACAUUCAAUCAGGUUUAGUCGGUUGGUUUUCAAUUCAUAUAAAAUUAAAUAUGUGUAUAUCAUGCGGCCUAAGCAAUAUACCCCAAUUGUGCCGCAAUAUUUCUUAAGUACCAGAGAGAAUCGUAUAAUCGAAGUAUGUUGUGUCCCUCAGAUUGACUGGUUGUUGUUUUUCUGUCUUCGUCUCUCUCGAAACGGAAGUGGCUGUGUCUGUGAAAGCAUAAUAUCGGCUGGCCUUGGAAAGCGGGAGGUUAGUGGCCUUAAGCACGCGGGAUUGUUUACCCAGUGACAGCAUGGAAGUUGGUUGCCAUUAAGGUGGAUCAUCUUAUGUUAACCCCGGCUGGACCAUACAAUCAGCCGUGGGUUGAGAUUCAGAACAACAAGAAGCAGAUACCCUUAUUCCAUUUGUGUAGUCCAUGGCGUGGCACAAGCACGAACACGUAAUGCUCAUGGAUAAAAAUAAACCAAAAAUGCCAGUAGCACCUGGUGGUGGAGGAGACAUGUCUCUUAGUCAAAGGCGGCAUGUUCCUCUCUAUGGCCGCUUAGUAGCUGAAGACACUUUGGGGAUCCCACCCAUGGCAAAUUCCUCAUCCACUGAUAUUCAAGCUAUGCAAGCAAGAAUACCUCCUACCUUUAGGGACUCAUCUUCAGCACCCCUUAGAAAACUUAGUGUUGAUUUAAUCAAGACUUACAAACAUAUAAAUGAAGUGUAUUACGCUAAGAAAAAACGAAGGGCAGCCCAAAUUCAAGGAGAAGAUUCUUCUCAUAAGAAAGAGAGGAAGAUAUACAAUGAUGGUUAUGAUGAUGACAACCAUGAUUACAUAGUGAAAAAUGGUGAAAAGUUCCUGGAGAGAUACGAAAUUGAUUCUCUUAUUGGCAAAGGUUCUUUUGGUCAAGUCGUAAAGGCAUUUGAUCAUGUUGAACAAUGCCAGGUGGCUAUAAAGAUUAUUAAAAAUAAGAAACCCUUUCUUAACCAGGCUCAAAUUGAAGUUAAAUUAUUAGAAAUGAUGAAUAGGGCCGACGUUGAGAAUAAAUAUUACAUAGUUAAAUUAAAAAGACAUUUCAUGUGGAGAAAUCACUUAUGUCUAGUGUUCGAACUAUUAUCUUAUAAUUUAUAUGAUUUACUUCGAAACACCAAUUUCCGUGGUGUAUCAUUGAAUCUCACAAGAAAAUUCGCGCAGCAGCUCUGUACAGCCUUACUCUUUCUUUCUACUCCUGAACUGAAUAUCAUCCAUUGCGAUCUGAAACCAGAAAAUAUUCUACUAUGCAACCCAAAAAGGUCAGCUAUCAAAAUAGUUGAUUUUGGAAGUUCUUGCCAACUUGGUCAAAGGAUAUAUCAAUACAUUCAGUCAAGGUUUUAUAGAUCGCCUGAAGUACUUUUAGGAAUUCCAUAUGAUUUAGCUAUAGAUAUGUGGUCUUUGGGAUGCAUAUUGGUGGAGAUGCAUACAGGAGAACCUUUAUUUAGUGGUGCCAAUGAAAUUGAUCAGAUGAAUAAAAUCGUCGAAGUUCUGGGUAUGCCACCCAAGCAUCUUCUAGAUCAAGCUAAUAAAACAAGAAAAUUUUUUGAAAAAUUACCAGGAGAGAGAAGGUACAUACUGAAAAAGACUAAAGAUGGUAAAAAAUAUAAAAUACCAGGUACCAGAAGACUUCAUGAUAUCUUAGGUGUAGAAACAGGCGGCCCGGGAGGAAGAAGGGCAAACGAAGUCGGUCAUUCGAUGUCUGAUUACUUGAAAUUCAAAGACCUAAUUCUCCGUAUGUUGGAAUAUGACCCUAAAACAAGAAUUACCCCAUAUUAUGCUUUGCAGCACAAUUUCUUUAAGCGUACGUCAGACGAAAGCACAAACACUGCAAAUAGUACGAGUUCCAGUCCCGCAGUCGCUUCUUUGGAUAUGUCUUUGACAAAUUCUGGUAGUCAGCAUGGCCAACGCAAUGGACCUCCUCUUCCAUUCGAUUCGUUAGGAAAUUCGUCGUCAAGAUAAUUUCAAAGUUUUUAAGUAAUAGAGGUUGAAGUGUACAAUUGGAUCGUUAAAUUAAACACUCUUAGAGGGUUAAACUUAGCCGGUCGUUCAAAAGAUUUAUCUGAACAAACCUACCUAUCUUCAGCAUACACAUCAAUGGAAUGUGACCCGUCGCCGUCUCGUCACAUACAUCGGCAGCGGUUUCAAUCCUCCAUGUUAAAUCACGGGCCACCAUCCCUUCAGUAUGUACCCUAUCCAACAACUAGAAUGGAAAGCACGCCCCCCAAGCACAAUCCCCCAAACAA
rnacentral:misc_RNA from 1 species